CGUUAGCGGCGGACUGGUGAGUAACACGUGGGUAACCUACCUAUAAGACUGGGAUAACUUCGGGAAACCGGAGCUAAUACCGGAUAAUAUUUCGAACCGCAUGGUUCGAUAGUGAAAGGUGGUUUUGCUAUCACUUAUAGAUGGACCUGCGCCGUAUUAGCUAGUUGGUAAGGUAACGGCUUACCAAGGCGACGAUACGUAGCCGACCUGAGAGGGUGAUCGGCCACACUGGAACUGAGACACGGUCCAGACUCCUACGGGAGGCAGCAGUA
rnacentral:rRNA from 1 species